rnacentral:rRNA from 1 species
UACGUAGGUGGCAAGCGUUGUCCGGAUUUAUUGGGCGUAAAGAGCGUGUAGGCGGCCAGAUAGGUCAGCUGUGAAAACUCGAGGCUCAACCUCGAGACGUCGGUUGAAACCAUCUGGCUAGAGUCCGGAAGAGGAGAGUGGAAUUCCAGGUGUAGCGGUGAAAUGCGUAGAUAUCUGGAGGAACACCGGUGGCGAAGGCGGCAUCCUGGACCGAGAUCGACGCUGAGGCGCGAAAGCUAGGGGAGCAAACGGG